AGGUAGUAAAUAAUACAGACAACGGGAACGAGAUGGAGCCCGGACAGGAAGGCGAGAUAACACUCGAAAGACUAAAGACGGUUGAAGAAUAUUGUCUGAAAAACUCAAACGAGUCUUGUAGCUGGCUGUGUAAACUGACGUCAGUUGGAAUUAUAGAUGAGCACGGACGGUACGUGGAGAGUAAAGGGAUAGAAUACACUAAGAAU